rnacentral:rRNA from 1 species
GCAUGUCUAAGUAUAAACAAAUUUGUACUGUGAAACUGCGGACGGCUCAUUAAAUCAGUUACAAUCUACUUGAUCGUAUACUUUACUCGGAUAACCCUAGUAAUUCUAGAGCUAAUACGUGCAAAAAGCCCCGACUCUCUGAUGUGUGAAAGCAUGUUGGAAGGAAAGGGUGUAUUUAUUAGGUACAAGACCACACGGGCUUCGGCUCGGUAUCGACGAUUCAUGAUAACUAAACGAAUCGCAGGCACACGCCGGCGAUGUUACAAACGAGUUUCUGACCUAUCAACUUUAGAUGGCAGAGUAGGGGUUUGCCAUGGUGACAACGGGUGACGGGGAAUUAGGGUUCGAUUCCGGAGAGGGAGCCUGACUUCUCUGAAAUCGUUAUGAACUCGGAACGCGUUCGACUCGUAGCUCGGGGGAGUACGGAAGUCAAGGAUGUAGCUCGAGGGAGUACAUCGUCUCACGGGCCAGUCUUUGGAUGUUUUUGUCGUCGGUGUCGGGCCCGAUUGGGAUGAACGUAAUAAUACUGGAUACCGCUGAUCCUGGUCGUCGACUCUUCGGAGGAGGCGAUCGGAGGAAUGCGAAUGUGGUCCGUGGUUUAUGUGAUUCUUGGUCGGGAAUGGACUCGGUUCGGAUGAACGUAAUAAGCUGGAUACCGCUGAUCCCUGUCGUCGACUCUUCGGAGGAGGUGACCGGAGGAAUGCAAAUGGUGGUCCGUGGUUUAUGUGAUUCCGUAUCGGGAAUACCCCCGAUGUCGUCGUCGAAUGUCCGGGGCUAGUUGCUAAUGAUCAGCGGCGACACCAUCAAAUUGUCCGGAAGUCCUUUGCACCCCCGACACCGCGGUCGACCGAAAAGGUCGGCGCAGCAGGAGGCGUCAUGGCUUCUGGAUGGUAAAAGAUCGGGGGAUCGAGGUAACCGGCAGCCAAAGCCUCUAAUGGUUGCAGUUCACAGACUAAAUGUUGGUGGGUUUUCAGACGAGGGGAACCUAAGAUAUAGUCGGCCCAUCUGCGAAAGCAGAUUUGUCGGGAGUAGUUCGAUCGGGAUCAUUCGUCAGACCGACGGACGAGAGCUCGGCAAGGUGUAUCGGCGUAACUCGAGGGAGUACGUCGGCAAAGUACAUCGGACCAAGCGGAGAAACGGCUACCACUUCCAAGGAAGGCAGCAGGCGCGCAAAUUACCCAAUACCGAUUCGGUGAGGUAGUGACAAGAAAUACCAAUGUAGGACACAACGUGUACUACGUUUGGAAUGAGUACAAUUAAAAACCUUAACGAGGAACAAUUGGAGGGCAAGUCUGGUGCCAGCAGCCGCGGUAAUUCCAGCUCCAAUAGUGUAUAUUAAAGUUGCUGCGGUUAAAAAGCUCGUAGUUGGAUUUCGGAUCGCGCGGAGUCAGAGCCCAUCCUUAGGGGUGCGUGCUCGACCCCCGCUUCCUACCUUCCGGUAACGCGUGGUCUCUCUUCACGGGGGGGCUACGAGGUUCCGGAUCGUUUACUUUGAAAAAAUUAGGGUGUUCAAAGCAGGCGUAACUUGCAUUCGAAUACAUUAGCAUGGGAUAAUAGAAUACGACUUUGGUCUUAUUUUGUUGGUUUCUAAGGCCGAAGUAAUGAUUGAUAGGGAUAGUUGGGGCCGCUCGUAUUGAGUUGUCAGAGGUGAAAUUCUAGGAUUUACUCAAGACGAACUAAUGCGAAAGCAUUCGGCAAGGAUGUUUUCAUUAAUCAAGAACGAAAGUUGGGGGAUCGAAGAUGAUCAGAUACCGUCGUAGUCUCAACCAUAAACUAUGUCGACCGAGGAUCCGGUAGCGUUACAUGGAUGACCUUCCAGGCACUCUGUGAGAAAUCACAAGUAUUUGGAUUUCGGGGGGAGUAUGGUCGCAAGGCUGAAACUUAAAGGGAUUGACGGAAGGGCACCACCAGGAGUGGAAUCUGCGGCUUAAUUUGACUCAACACGGGAAAACUUACCAGGUCCGGACACAGUGAGGAUUGACAGAUUGAGAGCUCUUUCUUGAUUCUGUGGGUGGUGGUGCAUGGCCGUUUUUAGUUGGUGGAGUGAUUUGUCUGGUUAAUUCCGUUAACGAACGAGACCUUGACCUAUUAAAUAGUGGUGCAAACUCGGUUCUUCCGAGCCGACCCUUCGGGGGAGGUGAGUGGAACCGUGAACGUUAGCAAUAUACUUCUUAGAGGGACUCUUCGCAUCUCUAGCGAAUGGAAGUUUGAGGCAAAAACAGGUCUGUGAUGCCCUUCGAUGUUCUGGGCUGCACGCGCGUUACACUGACGUAUGCAACGAGCUUUAUUCCUGGCCCGAUGGGGUUGGGUAAUCUUUUUAAAGUGCGUCGUGAUGGGGAUAGAACCUUGCAAUUAUUGUUCUUGAACGAGGAAUUCCUAGUAAUUGCAGGUCAACAACCUGCGAUGAUUACGUCCCUGCCCUUUGUACACACCGCCCGUCGCUCCUACCGAUGGUUGAACCGAUGAGGACUCGGGACAUUUGGGGAUCCGGUUGGCCGCAAGGUUGAUCGCCCUAGCUGGAACUUGUUCAAAUCUUUUAACUAGAG